GGGUUGUGAGGUUAAGCGACUAAGCGUACACGGUGGAUGCCCUGGCAGUCAGAGGCGAUGAAGGACGUGCUAAUCUGCGAUAAGCGUCGGUAAGGUGAUAUGAACCGUUAUAACCGGCGAUUUCCGAAUGGGGAAACCCAGUGUGUUUCGACACACUAUCAUUAACUGAAUCCAUAGGUUAAUGAGGCGAACCGGGGGAACUGAAACAUCUAAGUACCCCGAGGAAAAGAAAUCAACCGAGAUUCCCCCAGUAGCGGCGAGCGAACGGGGAGGAGCCCAGAGCCUGAAUCAGUGUGUGUGUUAGUGGAAGCGUCUGGAAAGGCGCGCGAUACAGGGUGACAGCCCCGUACACAAAAAUGCACAUAUUGUGAGCUCGAUGAGUAGGGCGGGACACGUGGUAUCCUGUCUGAAUAUGGGGGGACCAUCCUCCAAGGCUAAAUACUCCUGACUGACCGAUAGUGAACCAGUACCGUGAGGGAAAGGCGAAAAGAACCCCGGCGAGGGGAGUGAAAAAGAACCUGAAACCGUGUACGUACAAGCAGUGGGAGCACGCUUAGGCGUGUGACUGCGUACCUUUUGUAUAAUGGGUCAGCGACUUAUAUUCUGUAGCAAGGUUAACCGAAUAGGGGAGCCGGAGGGAAACCGAGUCUUAACUGGGCGUUAAGUUGCAGGGUAUAGACCCGAAACCCGGUGAUCUAGCCAUGGGCAGGUUGAAGGUUGGGUAACACUAACUGGAGGACCGAACCGACUAAUGUUGAAAAAUUAGCGGAUGACUUGUGGCUGGGGGUGAAAGGCCAAUCAAACCGGGAGAUAGCUGGUUCUCCCCGAAAGCUAUUUAGGUAGCGCCUCGUGAAUUCAUCUCCGGGGGUAGAGCACUGUUUCGGCAAGGGGGUCAUCCCGACUUACCAACCCGAUGCAAACUGCGAAUACCGGAGAAUGUUAUCACGGGAGACACACGGCGGGUGCUAACGUCCGUCGUGAAGAGGGAAACAACCCAGACCGCCAGCUAAGGUCCCAAAGUCAUGGUUAAGUGGGAAACGAUGUGGGAAGGCCCAGACAGCCAGGAUGUUGGCUUAGAAGCAGCCAUCAUUUAAAGAAAGCGUAAUAGCUCACUGGUCGAGUCGGCCUGCGCGGAAGAUGUAACGGGGCUAAACCAUGCACCGAAGCUGCGGCAGCGACGCUGAUGCGUUGUUGGGUAGGGGAGCGUUCUGUAAGCCUGCGAAGGUGUGCUGUGAGGCAUGCUGGAGGUAUCAGAAGUGCGAAUGCUGACAUAAGUAACGAUAAAGCGGGUGAAAAGCCCGCUCGCCGGAAGACCAAGGGUUCCUGUCCAACGUUAAUCGGGGCAGGGUGAGUCGACCCCUAAGGCGAGGCCGAAAGGCGUAGUCGAUGGGAAACAGGUUAAUAUUCCUGUACUUGGUGUUACUGCGAAGGGGGGACGGAGAAGGCUAUGUUGGCCGGGCGACGGUUGUCCCGGUUUAAGCGUGUAGGCUGGUUUUCCAGGCAAAUCCGGAAAAUCAAGGCUGAGGCGUGAUGACGAGGCACUACGGUGCUGAAGCAACAAAUGCCCUGCUUCCAGGAAAAGCCUCUAAGCAUCAGGUAACAUCAAAUCGUACCCCAAACCGACACAGGUGGUCAGGUAGAGAAUACCAAGGCGCUUGAGAGAACUCGGGUGAAGGAACUAGGCAAAAUGGUGCCGUAACUUCGGGAGAAGGCACGCUGAUAUGUAGGUGAAGUCCCUCGCGGAUGGAGCUGAAAUCAGUCGAAGAUACCAGCUGGCUGCAACUGUUUAUUAAAAACACAGCACUGUGCAAACACGAAAGUGGACGUAUACGGUGUGACGCCUGCCCGGUGCCGGAAGGUUAAUUGAUGGGGUCAGCGCAAGCGAAGCUCUUGAUCGAAGCCCCGGUAAACGGCGGCCGUAACUAUAACGGUCCUAAGGUAGCGAAAUUCCUUGUCGGGUAAGUUCCGACCUGCACGAAUGGCGUAAUGAUGGCCAGGCUGUCUCCACCCGAGACUCAGUGAAAUUGAACUCGCUGUGAAGAUGCAGUGUACCCGCGGCAAGACGGAAAGACCCCGUGAACCUUUACUAUAGCUUGACACUGAACAUUGAGCCUUGAUGUGUAGGAUAGGUGGGAGGCUUGGAAGUGUGGACGCCAGUCUGCAUGGAGCCGACCUUGAAAUACCACCCUUUAAUGUUUGAUGUUCUAACGUUGACCCGUAAUCCGGGUUGCGGACAGUGUCUGGUGGGUAGUUUGACUGGGGCGGUCUCCUCCUAAAGAGUAACGGAGGAGCACGAAGGUUGGCUAAUCCUGGUCGGACAUCAGGAGGUUAGUGCAAUGGCAUAAGCCAGCUUGACUGCGAGCGUGACGGCGCGAGCAGGUGCGAAAGCAGGUCAUAGUGAUCCGGUGGUUCUGAAUGGAAGGGCCAUCGCUCAACGGAUAAAAGGUACUCCGGGGAUAACAGGCUGAUACCGCCCAAGAGUUCAUAUCGACGGCGGUGUUUGGCACCUCGAUGUCGGCUCAUCACAUCCUGGGGCUGAAGUAGGUCCCAAGGGUAUGGCUGUUCGCCAUUUAAAGUGGUACGCGAGCUGGGUUUAGAACGUCGUGAGACAGUUCGGUCCCUAUCUGCCGUGGGCGCUGGAGAACUGAGGGGGGCUGCUCCUAGUACGAGAGGACCGGAGUGGACGCAUCACUGGUGUUCGGGUUGUCAUGCCAAUGGCACUGCCCGGUAGCUAAAUGCGGAAGAGAUAAGUGCUGAAAGCAUCUAAGCACGAAACUUGCCCCGAGAUGAGUUCUCCCUGACCCUUUAAGGGUCCUGAAGGAACGUUGAAGACGACGACGUUGAUAGGCCGGGUGUGUAAGCGCAGCGAUGCGUUGAGCUAACCGGUACUAAUGAACCGUGAGGCUUAACCUUACAACGCCGAAGCUGUU
rnacentral:rRNA from 1 species